CUCGCAUGCAAUCAAACUCAAACGCGCCAGAGAUAAACUUAUAGAAAUUGGGAAGCGAUUGGAAUGGAGAUUUUAGGAACAAGCUUGGAUGAAACAAAAUGGACCGCUGAAUCGUCUGUGCAAAUAACUUCACUACCUGUGGGAAUAUCGGAGAUAAAUGGUAUAAAGGAGCCUCUGCUGGACAAAGACGAAGACCCGCAUGUGGCAACGAAUUCGUAGAUGAUUUCCAUGGCUCCCAUAAACCAGGAAGACGUUCCACCAGAUUUAAACAAGAUAAAAAAGUAAAAAGAUCGGUAAUAUACCGGAACACACAAAUUAACAGCUUGUAAAGCUUGUAAAGCUUGACUUGCUGGACAAGGACAUCGUGCCUGAAAAUCUUCUAAAGUAUAAACUCCUGUAGUACGUCCUCCAAGACGACCCCGUUGAUCAGGACUUAAUUGCCAAUUUAUAACAUCUUGCCAAAACCAUUCUGGGCUAAGAACUAUUAAGUCGCCAGGAAGAAGUAAACAUUCUCCUAAAUUCUGUAAAAAAAAAUAUAUGAUUAUAUACUUAUAUAAUAAAUACAUUAUUUUGUUAAGAAGGAUCCAAAGGUAUAAUAACUUCAGGUACUAUAGGUUAUUAUCAUCUUUUAGAACCGAUGGUCUAAUGGCUAUAUGGCAGCCAUGGCUAUAGCCAUUAUAUGGCAGUAUAAUGGCUAUAUAAAAAUAUUAUAUCUUUAUUACCAGCUAUUACUUCAUACUAACGUAGAUGUUAGUUUAGAUAUGAAAUGGUCAGUUUAGCUCUAGGAUAAGAAUAACAUUUUAUGUAUAUAUACCUGUAAUUGUAAUCCAAGUUGUUUAGAAUGCUCUAAACAAACCAAAGGAUUGAUUUUUCUGAUUUCAUUCAAAAAUUCAUCCUGUGUAAGCAUUACUGGAGGUACUUCCAAAGAUUGUACAUAUGUUCUCCAUGAUUCAGCAAGACCGGUCCAUACCAAAGCACUCUAUAGUAAAAAUUCUAGAUCAAUUAUAAAGACAUACAAAGAUGUAUAACACAUAUUGAUGCGUAAAAUAUAUACAAGAGAAAUAUUUAUGCUUUAUUACAUUUGAUAAUAGUGCAUGUAUGUAUUUUUGGGGCAAAGCAUUAAAGCAUCUACUUUGAAAGAAGUAGAAUUCUUUUUAGAGACAUCACUUUUAUCAAAGGAAUUGAGAAAUGGAUCGACCUGUUUAUCAAGAUUCGCCAGGGGCACGUACAUGGCCGCUUCACGCGGUGUGUCACGUCGGAGAAAACUUUCUGCAACUUCCGGUCCAUCCUACAUCAUGCAUGGCAUGCAUUAAGGCUGAUGUUAAUAAACUUUAAUAGCCACAUAAUCAGCAACCAAAACAUAUGUUAUUAGUCAUUCGAUCAUGUAAUAGAUACAAUGGAAUAAAUGAUCAAAUAUGAAGAUGUUAAUAUUUGAACAAUAACUUUUCAAAACAGAUCUUAUAGAGAGAUGUUUAAAUCAGAUUAAAUUAUUAAAUUAAGUUUUAUAGAAACUUUAUAUCUUUCGUUCAAAGGUUAACAAAAAAUAUAUCGAUAAGAGUCUGUUUUUACAAGUUCAUGUAUUUCAUUAAUGUUUAACUUGUGCUUAUGUUAGUCAGACAUUGCAAAUAACCAAUGUGAUAGAAAAUUGUAGAACACAUAAAUAUUUACUUUCAAUGACUUGAUUUACUUACAAUUGUAUUAAAUUAACCAUGCAUUGGAUCGAUGACCAAAAAUUGGUGAAGAAA